GCAGCAGUUAACCAUGGUGUCCCCCAGAGGUCUGUCCUCGGUCCCCUUCUUUUCACCAUCUAUAUGCUCCCCCUAGGCAAAAUCAUCUGUAACCAUGGACUCAACUUUCAUUGGUAUGCAGAUGACACUAUUUAGUAAAAAUCCAUUCAUGGGAGUGUGUGUGGAUGAUUGCUGGUUUAAGCAGCCGAACCUUGCCCGAGUCAGACUGAUUGGACUCUGGGGCUGGGUGAGGCUGCACACCUGUUUUGCAUUGAGAAAUCAAUAUACACAGGUCAAACCAGCAAUCACCAGACACACACUCGGGGAGUUCUCCUAGAUGGCAACAUGGAGCACCAGGCCAUGUAUCACUUUGAGAUAUGUUUUCAAGGCUGACGCAUCCAAACACCUAUCAAUGCAAUCAGAAACAUUAUCCGUGUCUGUCUGAUCAAGAUAAUGUUUCUGUUUCAGAUUUUAUCGAUGUGUUCGUGCUAUUUUGUGUUGUUACUAAAUUAGCAGCAAUCUACAUUUCCAGGAGGCACUUUUCCAUUCCAAUGAAUUUGCUAUUAUAUCGUGUUGCGGUGACUGACUGGAUGCCUGGACUCUCUUUAUGGUUAACCGGCCAGCAACCCAUCACCGAUUUGAAAUGUUUUGCCUGUAUAUAUGUAUGUACGGAUAAAUUAUUCAAUUAUGGCACCCAUUGCACUCCUGAUCAUCCGUGGAGGGUGGGAUCCCCCACUCUGCGUUCCUCCUAAAGAUUCCUUCCCUUCUAAUUAAGGGAGUUUUUUCUUGCCCUCUUUUGGGCUAGGGUCGUGGGGGGGGGGAGGUAAAUUUGAAUCAUGAGGCUAUGUACCAAGUUUGGCUAUGACAUGUUAAAGAGUUGCUGAUAAAUGGGCUUACUUCCUGUUUGGCGGCUUUGCCGUCAAGUUUGAUUGUCUCUCACGGCCAAACGUUUUUUGCCUGGGUCUUUGUACCAAGUUUGGUUAUGAUAUGUCAAAGGCCUGCUGACUGGCUUACUUCCUGUUUGGCAUGUUUGGCUAUGAUAUGUCAAAGAGUUGCGGAGAAAUGGGC
rnacentral:lncRNA from 1 species